GGAGGGAGCGUCGAUCAGUAACGUAACGCGAUUGGUUGGUCAGUGGGCGGUACGAAGUGUUGGGGAGGGGAGCAUAGAAUAGUAAGGUCGCCAUCUUAAAGCAAUUCGCGAUAGCCUUUCGUCGCCGGUGCGAACCCGAGUCGUUGUCGUCGUCUCGUCGUCGUGAUUGUGUAUCGUUUUCGUCAUUUUCGUCGUCGGGUUAAGAGCUGAGCCGUAUUAGCCUGGCGAGCGUGUAAACGCGAGCGCAAGCUCGUACGGCUCCGGUAGGUGAUCAAAAACGGGAUCGAUAAAGUCUUGAAAGAGGAAAUUUAGUGGCAGUGCGCCGCGAGAAUGGUACAUGCUGUUUGAGCGAGAGUAACCACAGAUGGAAAGGACGAACCUCACACUUGCUGACAAAUCCAUUCGGUUUUGAAGAGUCGUCGACGUAGGGGAAGAAAGCAGACAGGAAGGAAGGAAAAGAAAGGCAAAAAGAAAGAAAGGCAAAAAGAAAGAAAGAAAGUGACAGGAAGGACGACAGUAUGGCGGGACAAACGAUAAACGACAGACUACUGGCUGCUAGACACAGCAUCGCUGGCCAAGGGCUCGCCAAAUCCGUCUGCAAAGCUACCACUGAGGAGAUGAUAGGACCAAAGAAAAAGCAUCUCGAUUAUCUCAUUCAUUGUACAAACGAGCCAAACGUGUCGAUACCACAACUCGCUAAUCUUUUGAUAGAACGAUCGCAAAACACGAACUGGACGGUCGUUUUCAAAGCACUCAUAACAGUACACCAUAUGCUUUGCUAUGGCAAUGAGAGGUUUACACAAUAUCUGGCAUCGAGCAACAGCACUUUUCAGCUCAGCAAUUUCCUCGAUAAAAGCGGAGUACAAGCAGGAGCGCGCGUCGGUUACGAUAUGUCACCGUUUAUCAGACGAUACGCCAAAUACUUGAACGAGAAGGCUCUUUCGUACAGAACGGUGGCAUUUGAUUUCUGUAAAGUUAAAAGAGGAAAAGAAGAUGGCACAUUACGUACCAUAAACGCAGAAAAACUCUUAAAAACAUUGCCAGUUCUACAAGCGCAACUAGACGCCCUUUUGGAAUUUGAUUGUACAGCAAACGAUCUUACCAAUGGCGUUAUUAACAACGCAUUUAUGCUUCUAUUCCGAGAUCUCAUUCGUUUGUUUGCUUGUUAUAAUGAUGGGAUUAUUAAUCUCUUAGAGAAAUAUUUCGAUAUGAACAAAAAACAAUGUCGAGAUGCUUUGGAACUGUAUAAAAAGUUCCUCAUAAGAAUGGAUAGAGUCGGCGACUUUUUAAAAGUAGCAGAGGAUGUUGGUAUCGACAAAGGUGAUAUUCCGGAUUUAACAAAGGCACCGAGUAGCUUGUUAGAUGCAUUAGAACAGCAUCUUGCGUCAUUAGAAGGGAAAAAGGGUUCUGCUGCAAAUACGCCAACACAAUCGGCAAGCAAUAGAACGAAUAUAAAGUCGGGAGUGUCCGCCCUGUCUUCCACCAGUACCGCAUUUGGAACGGCAGCUAGUAACGCACGGCUCGAUCACACUGGAAAUGGACACAUUGAUGAAGCGUUAAGGCAACAAGCUCUUGCGGAAGAGGAAGCAGCCAUGAAUCAAUACAAGGCUAAAGUACAGUCGCCCUCGGGUGGUCCAAGUACAAACCCAUUUUUGAGUUCUCCUACCAACAAUGCCAAUCAGCCAAUAGUUGAUUUAUUCGGUGCAGCACCAUCAGCUGAUAAUCAGCCUCAAAAAGCGUCUGACGAUUUGCUACAACUGGCAGGAAAUCCUUUCGCAGAUAUGUUUGGUGCAUCCCAACAAGCCCAACAAGCACAGCCUGCACAAGUACAAAAUAAUAUGUGGAUGACCAACGGUAAUGGUUUUGCAGCGACACCAGCAAAUAAUAACUUUGUUACAGAUAAUAGCUUUUCCUCCGUAUUCGGAAAUCAGGAUCAACAGUCAACUGGUGCCCCAGGAACUACCACCGGAUCCGUACCUAAUCCUUUCAUGUCCGACUUCCCAACCGCCGCUUCCCAAGCUAGCAAUGCAGCCGCUGCUCUAGGGCUGUUCGAUCAAAGCAGCAGCAGCGUUACUGCCGGCGGUAACGUUGCCGAAGCUCAAGUAGCAGCAGCAGCAACAACAGCAGCAGCAGCGGCGGCAUCACAAAGCGGCGGAGACCUCUUCAGUGCCGGCGGUCAGGCAGAUCUCUUUGGAGGCGACUCUGCAAUGCUCAAGGCCGCAGAUGGGAGCUCUGGGGACGUCGCGUCUGGCGGUGCACAGGCACCGUCGGCCGUUGCGCCCUCGACUGCUCUUACCUCUGGCAAGUCCACUGCCACGCCGCCUCCCAGACCACCGCCUCCCGCGACAGCAGCUUCCAAUGGUACACCACGUGCAUUGUCUCCAGCUAUUAGCGGAGCAUCACCUGGUAGGCCAGCCUCGGGGCCUGCUUCGAUUGCCGGUAGUGCAGCCCCGAGCAAGAGUGCAUUCGAUGAUCUAAAUGACAGUAUUCGUAUGGCACUGGGUGGCUCUCCGUCGCGACCGGCACCCCUUGCUCAGCACGCUCCUCCCACGCAACAACAACAACAACAACAACAGCAACAACAACAACAACAACAACCGCCAUCGCAACAACCCGUUCAACAGGGCUUCGCCAUGUUCGACAUGGGAAGUAAUGUCGGGGCGGCCACUAGCCACAUCAUGAUGGCUGGUGGCCAAAUGGUUUCUUACGGAGUUCCUCCGUCGUCUUCUCAAGUACCUCCUGUCGGCUUUGGUUCUCCGGCUAAGCAGCCAAUGUCAGCAGGUGGACAGCCGACAAAUGCAACAGCAGCCAGUGGAAAAGUCCUAACUGGAGACCUAGAUAGUAGCCUUGCCAGUUUAGCACAGAAUUUGACGAUUAAUAAAAGUACUCAGCCACAAGUUAAGGGAAUGCAAUGGAAUUCUCCUAAAAAUACGGCUAAAACUGGAGGUCCCGCUGGAUGGACACCACAACCGAUGGCAGCAACCACAGGGGCUGGAUAUCGUCCUAUGGGUCAAGGAAUGACGCAACUUCCUCCUGCAACCACGUUGGCCUUUUCCCCACAGACAACACCAAUGGGUAUGCAAGGUAUGCCAAUGGGCAUGCAAGGUAUGCAAGGUAUGAGGCCGAUGAUGGGUGCAAUGCCAGGGCCUACUGCUGGAGGUGGUGGUAUGAUGGUUGCGGGUGGAGCUGCACCAAUGAUGAUGCCUAAUGCAAAUCCUAUGAUGGGUGCUAAUCUUCAACAGCAACAGCAGCAGCAUCCACAACCUGCUGCUCAGCCACAAGGCAAUGCUGUUCAACUAGAUCCUUUUGGUGCUCUAUGAAGAGACUAGGAUUUCAAAUGGAAUGAUAGAAAGGAAGCACCGAUUUUGUAAAUACUGUGUAAUAUGCUUAGAAAAUAUGCCCUUUUGAUUGAUAUCGAUCUAGGUUCGAAAUGUUCUAACCGUUGUUGAUAUCGACCUUCGAACUUCGUUCAAAAGCAGACGCUGUUCGUUUCUCUCACUGUGAAUAUGGUCAAUACUUCUAUCAUUAUUAUUCUCGUGCGAUCAUUCGAUCUUGGGAUCUGCUACUCAAAUCAUUGGUUUUGGUCCAAGUGGAGAAGUUCACAAUUAUCCUAUGUUAAAGUAUUAAAUAAUAUAAUAAUAACGAUUAAUAUGAACUAAAUAAUAUUAUAAUUAAUUCUCAGAAAUAACGAUAAUAAUUACGUUAUUUUGAGAUAUCGGGUGACGCAAAUAUGCAUAUAUACGUAUGUGCAUGGGUAGGAAAAAAAAGAGUAAUAAUUAAAAAAAAACUAUAAUAUGUAUAUAUAUGUGUAGGAAAACCAUAAUUCUAUGGAGUUUUCGAGACAAUUAAUGAUGAGAACGAAGAAACGAAUAUACAGGAUCUUUCGCUUAACUCGACUACCUAAAAUAUCUCACUUAUUCCGUACGAUAGAAAAAAAUGUCAGAGGAAAAAAUUAUUUUAUUCGAAGGCGCCGAUAUAUUGAUAGACUGAAUUUUCUUUCAAGGUCAUUUUUUUCGAGAUAUUAAGGUCAUCGUAUUUUUUUUUAAUGUGACUGCAUAUUUUUACUACAAUAUUCUUAUA